UACGUAGGGUGCAAGCGUUGUCCGGAAUUAUUGGGCGUAAAGAGCGCGUAGGCGCCCGGAAAGUCGGAUGUGAAAACCCGGGGCUCAACCCCGGGCCUGCAUCCGAUACUCCCGGGCUGGAGGCAGGUAGGGAGAUCGGGAAUUCCUGGUGUAGCGGUGAAAUGCGCAGAUAUCGGAAGGAACAUCAGUGGCGAAAGCGACCUCCUGGACCAAUACUGACGCUCAUGUGCGA
rnacentral:rRNA from 1 species